CAGCAGCCGCGGUAAUACCGGCGGCCCGAGUGGCGGCCACUAUUAUUGGGCUUAAAGCGUCCGUAGCCGGGUUGGUUAGUCUCCCGGGAAAUCUGGCCGCUUAACGGUCAGAAUUCCGGGAGAUACUGCCAGCCUAGGGACCGGGAGAGGCCGAGGGUAUUCCCGGAGUAGGGGUGAAAUCCUAUAAUCCCGGGAGGACCACCUGUGGCGAAGGCGCUCGGCUGGAACGCGUCCGACGGUGAGGGACGAAGGCCAGGGGAGCAAACCGGAGUAGAUACCCGGGUAGUCCUGGCUGUAAACGAUGCGGACUUUGUGUCGGACAAGCUAUGAGCUUGUCCGGUGCCGGAGGGAAACCGUUAAGUCCGCCGCCUGGGGAGUACGGCCGCAAGGCUGAAACUUAAAGGAAUUGGCGGG
rnacentral:rRNA from 1 species